rnacentral:rRNA from 1 species
GCACAACGCGAAGAACCUUACCUACUCUUGACAUCCAGAGAACUUAGCAGAGAUGCUUUGGUGCCUUCGGGAACUCUGAGACAGGUGCUGCAUGGCUGUCGUCAGCUCGUGUUGUGAAAUGUUGGGUUAAGUCCCGCAACGAGCGCAACCCUUAUCCUUUGUUGCCAGCGGUUCGGCCGGGAACUCAAAGGAGACUGCCAGUGAUAAACUGGAGGAAGGUGGGGAUGACGUCAAGUCAUCAUGGCCCUUACGAGUAGGGCUACACACGUGCUACAAUGGCGUAUACAAAGAGAAGCGACCUCGCGAGAGCAAGCGGACCUCAUAAAGUACGUCGUAGUCCGGAUUGGAGUCUGCAACUCGACUCCAUGAAGUCGGAAUCGCUAGUAAUCGUAGAUCAGAAUGCUACGGCGAAUACGUUCCCGGGUCUUGUACACACCG